ACAGGGGGCGGUUAAAGUNUGGUUCUUGGGUUCCCGCUACAUAAUUGUAAUCAGGUGUGCCUGCUUAGCUUGACUAGUGGCGGACGGGUGAGUAAUGUCUGGGAAACUGCCUGAUGGAGGGGGAUAACUACUGGAAACGGUAGCUAAUACCGCAUAACGUCGCAAGACCAAAGAGGGGGACCUUCGGGCCUCUUGCCAUCGGAUGUGCCCAGAUGGGAUUAGCUAGUAGGUGGGGUAACGGCUCACCUAGGCGACGAUCCCUAGCUGGUCUGAGAGGAUGACCAGCCACACUGGAACUGAGACACGGUCCAGACUCCUACGGGAGGCAGCAGUGGGGAAUAUUGCACAAUGGGCGCAAGCCUGAUGCAGCCAUGCCGCGUGUAUGAAGAAGGCCUUCGGGUUGUAAAGUACUUUCAGCGGGGAGGAAGGUGAUGAGGUUAAUAACCUUGUCAAUUGACGUUACCCGCAGAAGAAGCACCGGCUAACUCCGUGCCAGCAGCCGCGGUAAUACGGAGGGUGCAAGCGUUAAUCGGAAUUACUGGGCGUAAAGCGCACGCAGGCGGUCUGUCAAGUCGGAUGUGAAAUCCCCGGGCUCAACCUGGGAACUGCAUUCGAGACUGGCAGGCUAGAGUCUUGUAGAGGGGGGUAGAAUUCCAGGUGUAGCGGUGAAAUGCGUAGAGAUCUGGAGGAAUACCGGUGGCGAAGGCGGCCCCCUGGACAAAGACUGACGC
rnacentral:rRNA from 1 species